AUUGAACGCUGGCGGCAUGCCUAACACAUGCAAGUCGAGCGGAGCGGCGGACGGGGGAGUGUUGACAAGGAAUCUGCCCGGGAGUGGGGGAGAACGUCAGGUAACGGGAGCUAAUACCGCAUACUCUCAGAUGAGCAUUGGUCGGAUUAGCUAGUGGGAGGGGUAAAGGCCUACCAAGGCGACGACCCGUAACUGGUCUGAGAGGAUGAUCAGUCACACUGGGACUGAGACACGGUCCAGACUCCUACGGGAGGCAGCAGUGGGGAAUUUUGGACAAUGGGCGAAAGCCUGAUCCAGCCAUGCCGCGUGUGUGAAGAAGGUCUUCGGAUUGUAAAGCACUUUUAGUUGGGAAGCGUUACCAGCAGAAUAAGCACCGGCUAACUUCGUGCCAGCAGCCGCGGUAAUUC
rnacentral:rRNA from 1 species